CGACCCCGGUCUGGUCUCGGGUCGCCGAAAGCGGCGGGCGGGCGGGACGCGGCCGGUCACCUGCCCACGGAGCCGCCGGGCCGGGCCCGAGCCUGCGGGAGGACCAGACUGCGGCUCCCCGCCGCGGGCCGGGGGUGGGCGCGCCUCGGCGUCGGGGGCGCUCCUGGAGGAGGGCAGGGAAGUGAACACUUCCUGAGCGUCUCCACGAGGGCGGGGUCUUCCUGAGGGUCUCCACGAGGGCGGGGAAGUGGACCCUCUUCCUGAGCGUCGUCUCCACGAGGGCGGGGAAGUGGGCACACCGGGAAGCACUCAGAGCUCGGGCGUAAGGAAGGCUGACACAGUCCGGGGUGAAGGGGCCGCGGAGGGCUCGGUGACUGCCAGCUGCGACCCCUCCUAGAGCGUCCCAGAGAGGCCGGGCGGGGCAGCCCUAAUCCGCCCAGAAAAAGAAGCCCCAGCCCGCCGCUUCCACAGCUUUCCCCAAGUUCCUCUCUCCGACGCCCUGGUUCCCCGCUCGUGUCGGGACUGCAGGGUCCUCUUUGCUGGACUGCUGUCCGGCUACGCCGGCCCUUUGCGGAGAGGCGGCCGUCCUGCUCUGUCCACCCCGCCCGCUGCGGCCUCAGCGCCUCGGACCACCAGCUCGGGAGCCGCCUACCAUCACCCCGCUCAACAGGCUGUGAUUCCCGUGAGACACUCCGUGUCCUGAUGAGACGGGGAACCGAGCUCUGUUCACAGAGCGGAAGAAUGGACUCUGCAAACUCGCAAACAUUCAAGCGGGCAAAGUUUAUUUCAAAGGAUAGAGAUACAAAGCCCUCAGCAUAGACACUGAGAGAAGGUGAAGAGCCCCCAGAGGCGGGAAUAGCAGCAGCUUUUCUGUCUUCAUCAGACUUGAUCUGUCCGUCCUUGGCUGGCCCGGGGCCCGACGCCUGUGAUUUCUGACCAGUGAGUGUAAGCGUGACAUCCAGUUUGUUGUCUUUAUGGCUCUCUUUUGGGUCCCAGUUCCUCACUUUCUCCCGACAUAGUGACGCCACCCCUUGACCCUUUCUCAGGACCACACACCAUUACUGAGGAGCCUGGCGUGCUGCGAUUCAUGGGGUUGCAAAGAGUCGGACACGACUGAGCGACUGAUCUGAUCUGCAUGUUUAAGAGCUGACGAUCCACCAGGAGUUUCUCUCCUUGAUAAACUGGACAGCAGUUAAUGAUUGUCUUGCCCUGGGUCUGAAGGUUUUAUGACCCUGCAGACCAGGGAGCCGUUCCUCUGAAUGUGUAGGAGCUGAAAGAAAUGCAGCUUUAGGCCAGUGGAGCCAAAAACGUUUGUGCGUGAGACCUGGAAUUGAAACGGAAACUAGAGGAAGAGCCAGGCUCUAACUUCUGCACUAAGACUGCCUGACACUGAAGCCUGCUGGAUACCAAGCUCGCCACGCAGCUUUGCGGGGGAACGGCCAGUGUCUGUCCCAUCCGUUGGCCGGUGGCUCUGUGGCAAGCACCGUUGUGCUGACUGGAACGACCCCACAAGAAGCAAGCGUUAUUAUCUUUUAGAAGAUAAGAAAAUUAAGGAAAAAGUUACAACCUGCCCUGUACUCGGUGAAAGAGGAGAGGACUCCAGACACGUGUAUUAGUGCCCUCAGAACUUCAAGAAAGUAUCAUAGCCAUAAAAAAAAAAAAGAAA